CAAUGGCAGAUGAAAUAGUGAAUCAUCUCCUCUUCAAGUGUCCUUAUGCGAGACUGGUGCAGGCGAUAUCUCCUAUCCAUGCACCUUCUGGUGGUGAAAUGUCAGAUUCUCUCUACUCUAAUGUUCAUUAGUUAAUAAAUUUGAACUAUGAAUAUCCAAAGGAAGAAGCUCAUGAUCUCCUAGUCCCUGGCUUUUGUGGAGAAUUUGGAAGAAUAGAAAUGAAUUUUUGUUCAAAGGCAAGGACUAUAAUGCUUUAAGUACAGUGAAAAAAGCGAGAGAGGACAUGGAGGAAUGGAAGUCCCGACAAGAGGUGGAAGUUAGUGUGGUUAAAAACCCAACAAGAGCGCCUACUGCUGAUAGAUGGAAGCCUCCGCCGCAUGACUAGAUCAAGUGUAAUACUGAUGGGGCGUGGAAGAAAGAUAAUGAAUUAUACGGUGUGAGAUGGGUGAGUAGAGAUCACCAUGAAAAGCUCUUGUGGUAGAGGAUAUUAACGUUGGGAUCACCAAUUGAAGUGGAAGCUGCAGCUAUAAGAUGGGCUUACGUACUAUGGCAAGUUUUGGAUAUCGACAGGUGAUAAUAGAGACAUAUUCUUUGGAGAUAUCCAAAAUGAUUAAUGUAGAGGAUGCUCUUUGGCCCAAGCUAAAGCCGAUCAUACAAGACAUCUCCAACUCUUUGACUUUGAACCUAACGUACAAGGUGGAGUGUUGUAAUAGGAGUAGCAAUAAAGUAGCUGAUAGGAUAGCAAAUGAGUCUUUGACAUUUAUGUCUUGUUUUUCCAAGUUGUAUUCUAUUCAGCCUGUUUGGUUAAGAUCAGUGUUAGAGGCUGAUAUGCCUUUGUAAGGAUGAUUUAAGUUGGUUAAUGAAGAGUAGUUGUUGAGCCAAAUAUAUAUAUAUAUAUAUAUAUAUAUAUAAGUUGAGAUAAUAACUUAUUCUCACCAAAUUCUAAUUUUCAAGUAGGACAACUGACAAUAGGUCCAAAAGAUGCGAGAGUCAACAGAACAAGAAAACAAUAAUGGUCUAAAUAGCAUCUCCAACCCUACUUUAUUUUCAACUAUAAACUCUAUUUUUUAGUAAAAACAUUUUUAGUCCACUUUAGUUUUCACUUUAAAAUAGAAUAAUAGGUGAGAUAAUUCUAUAUUAUACAUAUUGUUAGUUUAUAUAUACAUAUUUUAGAAAAAUAUACAUAAAAUAUGAGGACCAAACUAAUUUGAUUAUUGAACUUUUUUAGUUCGGUUUUGAAUCUUUUAGCAAUUGUGUUUUGGAGUUUUAUUCUUGAGAGAUGGAAGAUAAAACUCCACCCUCAUAUUUCCAAAUAUAAUAUGAUAACAAAAUUUGGUUCCAAAAGUUUUUUGGUUAUUUUAGAGAUAUUAAAUAUAAAAAAUUUUAUUUUUAAAAAAUCUCAUUUUCACUUCGAAAUAGAUUAAUCGAUAGAAAAAUACAUUAAUGGUGAUGGUUACAUGAAAAAUACUAUUUGUUUGUGAUGUAAUGUAAACUAUUUAUUUAGUGAAUAUUUAAUUAAAAUUAAUUUCAUAAUUAUAAAAUAAACGGGCUCAAUUUUAAAUUUUAUAAUUAAUUAUAAGGUUUUAAUAGCAAAAUAGAAUAUUUUAUUUUUGGAAUAAAAAAUGUAGUAAUACAUUGGAGUAAAAUCUAAUUCUAUUUUAGAGUUAUUCUAUAUUGAAGUAAAAAAUGGAGAUAUAAAUUGGAUAUAUACAUUAGAGAUAGUCUAAGAAAAAAAGGUAAAUAUGUAAUGCAAUAAAGUACAUGAGCCAACUGGGCCAUCUACUUAUAUUAGAAAGCCUUAUUUUCUGAAUCCACUUGGAAAUAUUUUUGGUUAGUGUAUGCUAAGGAAAAUGAAAGAAAAAAGGAUUAGUUAUUUUAUCCGACAUCUUAACUAAUAAAGUUGCUUUUUUUUCACUCCUUCGGGGAAAAAAAUACACCUGGCAUCUCUAUUUAUUGGGCCACUAAAACUAUUUAUUUUUUAAUUGAUCUUAGCCACUUUUCUUUCACAAGGUCCACCAUUUCAAGCUCUACACUCUUUCACAAAUGUUCCAGUUGCCGUCUUUUCCGGUUUUCCUCAUCCAACGUUUUUGUCGUUAUCAAUUUUCAGUGCCUUAAUCUCCUAUUCCCCACUAUCUACAUCAAUUGUUCUUCCAUUCAAUAUAGUUACAAUGUAUGCUGACAAUCACUUCGGCUUCUCAUGCUUCUCUAUUAUAUAUGACGCUCACAACUCCCACGAUAACACUAUCUACAAAUAAAAAUCCAGAAAACCAUGAAGAGGAAAGAAUAAAGUCCAAACCUCUCUGGGUUCCAAAAGGAGUUGGAACUGAUUCCAGUGAAGGGUUCGACCUCAGUAGAAUGAAACGUCCCAUGCUUCGUCUCCACAAUCCUCAUCUUAAAAACAAGGUCCAUGGACAUAGCACAGUUUCAUGGCAAGAACUGGUGUUGACAAAAGGUAAUUGGCAAUGAUUAUAAUUCUAUUUCGAGUUUUUGACCAGUAACACAACCAGACACCAAUAGACUAACAAAUUUGGUUCCGUUUUUAUAAAAAAUAAUAGGUUCAUAUAGUGUACUUGGGUAGAAGAACAUGAUCAUGAGUUUGUAACAAAAUUUCAUUAUCAGAUAUUGUCAACUUCUUGGAAGGUAUGUGAGAAUAGUUUCUCUUUUCCAAGUUAAUAUUAGUUUUUCAGUUCAAGAGCCGUGCUUGAGUAGAAGCUAAUAAAGCAUCUGCUUCAUGGCCAAACUAGAUAAAUUUACUUUAGGGGCCACUUUAACGGACAAUAGUCUUUAGAUCUACAGGUGUUUGAUUCAUAUCUAAGCUGUUGCAUUUUCAGUACUUCUUACACUUCUUGAGAUACUGGGUCAACUAUUUUUUUUUGCUUGCGGGCCAUCAAAUGUCAGGCACUGCCCUGCUCAGUUGUUACUGUUUUUGUUCCCAUGAUUGUAUUAAAGAGGAUGCUCAUGAUUCAAUGGUGUACAUCUACUAACAUGGCUUCUCAGGUUUUGGAUACGAAGUCCCAAGCCAAGCAAAUAACAGGUACUUUGUCUCAAGUCUCAGCUUUUCUUGGGUUUCUUAUUAAAUAAGGUUUUUAUUUACUUGAACUGCAUAACAAACCAUCUCUUCAACUCUCUUUAACUGAUCACCCACGUCAUAUGCAUGUCUUUAUUCCUUAACACCACAUCUAGCGCCCAUGUCUACUUUUACAAACAUACAGCAGCUGGCAAGAUUUAUUUUCAGAGGUACGUAUAUUUGACAUUAUCCAUUUUGUAAUUGAUAAGCUAUACCAUACUUUUUUAACAUUUCAUCAGUUCAAAAUACCACCGUACAAUGCAUUAGGUUGGAGUCUAAUGCCGACACUAACCCAGGAGCUGCUCCGUUCAGUCGUGGUUUUGCAAAGAUAUAUUUGGAAUGUGUUAUCACCUAUGCAUCUCUGGUAUACCAUUGAGCUCUCUCGAUUAAUACCUUUGCAGCUUUCCAAAAUUUGUUUAAAAUGCUGACAUAUUUACAAAACAUGAAAUUGAGUUCCUUAGCACCGGGAAGGUGACGAGUUUUCAUACGAACACACGUUGGAGCAACUGAAGCUGGUCAUAUCUUGGUUGCAGAUCUUGAGAACCCAAAGGAAAGCCAUCUCCCAAAGUUCAUCGACAUUGUGGACACUACAUAAACUUUCCAGCUAAUGUUGUCACCUUACAAUUUUCUUCCAAGCAUAAGACGUUUACCAUCUCUCGCAUUUUCAAUGAACGUCAGCGUCUUCCUAUCCCCACUUCAUUGAUGUGGAGGCAACGGUGGAUCUGGUGACGAUAUGCCUGGAGUGGCAUCAGUGACUUCCAGACCCAGCGUUGGUGACUGACAAUGCAGCUGACUCGACUGGUAGCCCAAGUGUAUGUGAUAAAUCACCCACCAAAAUCUUGCUCUCACCUGGCUUCAACGCAACCAAGAAAGUCCAGCAUGGCUUAAGAUCCGAGAGAAUUCACUUUUUCUCCACAACCCCAGCUUUUAAAAUAAUGCAACAGCAGCUGGUUUUCUUUUUUUCAUUUCGUCUCCACAUUGCUUAAACGUGUUUUCAUAUUUCAGUUAACUUUAAUAUAAUUUUAUUUCAAGCU